rnacentral:lncRNA from 1 species
UGGAUCAAGAUAAGCAUAUCAUAUUCAUACAAUCAUACUAUCAAUUACUGAUACAUAUAAAUAGUUAACACAUAAUGUAUUCAUACAGAAAAAUCAGAUGAGAACUAAUGAUGUCUCAAACAUAACAAAUCCAUCAAUACAAAUUUAACAAUAAAAAACCAAUGACAUAAAUUCAACAGUGAAAAUAAUAUAUUUAAUGGG